UACGGAGGGGGCUAGCGUUGUUCGGAAUUACUGGGCGUAAAGCGCACGUAGGCGGCUUUGUAAGUUAGAGGUGAAAGCCCGGGGCUCAACUCCGGAAUUGCCUUUAAGACUGCAUCGCUAGAAUUGUGGAGAGGUGAGUGGAAUUCCGAGUGUAGAGGUGAAAUUCGUAGAGAUCGGGAGGAACACCUGUGGCGAAGGCGGCCGGCUGGGGGUACCCUGACGCUGAGGCGCGACAGCGUGGGGAGCGAACCGG
rnacentral:rRNA from 1 species